GCGGAUGUGGUGGAAUUGGUAGACACGCUAGAUUUAGGUUCUAGUGCCCUUGGCGUGGGAGUUCGAGUCUCCCCAUCCGCA
rnacentral:tRNA from 1 species